GGGGUAUGGUAUUAGGUGAACGGGGUAUGGUAUUAGGUGAACGGGGUAUGGUGGUAGGUGAACGGGGUAUGGUGGUAGGUGAACGGGGUAUGGUAUGUAGGUGAACGGGUAUGGUGGUAGGAGAACGGGGUAUGGUGGUAGGGUCACAGGGUAGUAGGUGAACGGGGUAUGGUAAUAGGUGAACGGGGUAUGGUAGUAGGUUAACGGGUAGUAGGUGAACGGGGUAUGGUGGUAGGUGAACGGGGUAUGGUGGUAGGUGAACGGGGUAUGGUGGUAGGUGAACGGGGUAUGGUAGUAGGUGAACGGGGUAUGGUAGUAGGUGAACGGGGUAGUAGGUGAACGGGGUAUGGUAGUAGGUGAACGGGGUAUGGUGGUAGGUGAACGGGGUAUCGUAGUAGGUGCCAGGUGCACCGCAUUAUGUCAAGAACUGCAACGCUGCUGGGUUUUUCAUGCUCGGUAGUUUCCUGUAUGUAUCAAGAAUGGUCCACCACCCAAAGGACAUCCAGCCAACUGGACACAACUGUGGGAAGCAUUGGGGUCAACAUGGACCAGCUUCCCUGGAGUCAACAUGGACCAGCUUCCCUGGAGUCAACAUGGACCAGCUUCCCUGGAGUCAACAUGGACCAGCUUCCCUGGAGUCAACAUGGACCAGCUUCCCUGGAGUCAACAUGGACCAGCUUCCCUGGAGUCAACAUGGACCAGCAUCCCUGGAGUCAACAUGGACCAGCAUCCCUGUGGAAACGCUUCAACACCUUGUAGAGUUCGUAACUUAACAAAUUGAAGCUGUUCUGAGGGCAAAAGGGGGUGCAACUCAAUAUUAGGAAGGUGUUCUUAAUGUUUUGUCCACUCCGUGUACAUCAGCAGUAUUACAUUUAGCCUUAAUCACCG
rnacentral:lncRNA from 1 species